GGGCGGUUGGCGCAGUUGGUUAGCGCGUCACGUUGACAUCGUGAAGGUCACUGGUUCGAGUCCAGUACCGCCCACCA
rnacentral:tRNA from 1 species